AUCUAGGAGCCAUGUCCACUUUGUUCCCCUCACUCUUCCCUCGUGUGACUGAGACACUGUGGUUUAAUCUGGAUCGACCCUGUGUGGAAGAGACAGAGCUGCAGCAGCAGGAACAGCAGCAUCAGGCCUGGCACUAUGAUGACGAGGAAGAAGAGGAUGAUGAAGACGAUGAGGAUAGUGAAGAGGACUCAGAGGAUGAUGAGGACAUGCAGGACAUGGACGAGAUGAAUGACUACAAUGAGUCGCCUGAUGACGGAGAGGUCAAUGAGGUGGACAUGGAAGGCAACGAACAGGAUCAGGACCAGUGGAUGAUCUAGGUAGACAAGGCAGGGUGGCCUCAGAGAGAUUCCAAGCCAGCCCAAACUACCCUGCAUCCCAACCCCCAACCCCUGCCCACAGAACCAGCUGAUGGCCCCAGUGCCUGAAAGUCCCUUGGGCACCUCCUCAGCUGCUGCCAGGAUCUGGUCUCCUUGGCCCCUCCCAGGCCAUCGGUCUGCACUUGAAAUCCCCAGGGCCUGAGCCCCACUCCACCUUCCUGGCCAGUACCUCACCCCUUGAUUGCCAGGUCUGGUCUCUUUCUAAGUUUCUUUAAUAAAGACAAAGGAAUGAUUUUCAAAAAAAAAAAAAAAAA